rnacentral:rRNA from 1 species
GGGUUGUGAGGUUAAGCGACUAAGCGUACACGGUGGAUGCCCUGGCAGUCAGAGGCGAUGAAGGACGUGCUAAUCUGCGAUAAGCGUCGGUAAGGUGAUAUGAACCGUUAUAACCGGCGAUUUCCGAAUGGGGAAACCCAGUGUGUUUCGACACACUAUCAUUAACUGAAUCCAUAGGUUAAUGAGGCGAACCGGGGGAACUGAAACAUCUAAGUACCCCGAGGAAAAGAAAUCAACCGAGAUUCCCCCAGUAGCGGCGAGCGAACGGGGAGCAGCCCAGAGCCUGAAUCAGUGUGUGUGUUAGUGGAAGCGUCUGGAAAGGCGCGCGAUACAGGGUGACAGCCCCGUACACAAAAAUGCACAUGCUGUGAGCUCGAUGAGUAGGGCGGGACACGUGGUAUCCUGUCUGAAUAUGGGGGGACCAUCCUCCAAGGCUAAAUACUCCUGACUGACCGAUAGUGAACCAGUACCGUGAGGGAAAGGCGAAAAGAACCCCGGCGAGGGGAGUGAAAAAGAACCUGAAACCGUGUACGUACAAGCAGUGGGAGCACGCUUAGGCGUGUGACUGCGUACCUUUUGUAUAAUGGGUCAGCGACUUAUAUUCUGUAGCAAGGUUAACCGAAUAGGGGAGCCGAAGGGAAACCGAGUCUUAACUGGGCGUUAAGUUGCAGGGUAUAGACCCGAAACCCGGUGAUCUAGCCAUGGGCAGGUUGAAGGUUGGGUAACACUAACUGGAGGACCGAACCGACUAAUGUUGAAAAAUUAGCGGAUGACUUGUGGCUGGGGGUGAAAGGCCAAUCAAACCGGGAGAUAGCUGGUUCUCCCCGAAAGCUAUUUAGGUAGCGCCUCGUGAAUUCAUCUCCGGGGGUAGAGCACUGUUUCGGCAAGGGGGUCAUCCCGACUUACCAACCCGAUGCAAACUGCGAAUACCGGAGAAUGUUAUCACGGGAGACACACGGCGGGUGCUAACGUCCGUCGUGAAGAGGGAAACAACCCAGACCGCCAGCUAAGGUCCCAAAGUCAUGGUUAAGUGGGAAACGAUGUGGGAAGGCCCAGACAGCCAGGAUGUUGGCUUAGAAGCAGCCAUCAUUUAAAGAAAGCGUAAUAGCUCACUGGUCGAGUCGGCCUGCGCGGAAGAUGUAACGGGGCUAAACCAUGCACCGAAGCUGCGGCAGCGACACUAUGUGUUGUUGGGUAGGGGAGCGUUCUGUAAGCCUGUGAAGGUGUACUGUGAGGUAUGCUGGAGGUAUCAGAAGUGCGAAUGCUGACAUAAGUAACGAUAAAGCGGGUGAAAAGCCCGCUCGCCGGAAGACCAAGGGUUCCUGUCCAACGUUAAUCGGGGCAGGGUGAGUCGACCCCUAAGGCGAGGCCGAAAGGCGUAGUCGAUGGGAAACAGGUUAAUAUUCCUGUACUUGGUGUUACUGCGAAGGGGGGACGGAGAAGGCUAUGUUGGCCGGGCGACGGUUGUCCCGGUUUAAGCGUGUAGGCUGGUUUUCCAGGCAAAUCCGGAAAAUCAAGGCUGAGGCGUGAUGACGAGGCACUACGGUGCUGAAGCAACAAAUGCCCUGCUUCCAGGAAAAGCCUCUAAGCAUCAGGUAACAUCAAAUCGUACCCCAAACCGACACAGGUGGUCAGGUAGAGAAUACCAAGGCGCUUGAGAGAACUCGGGUGAAGGAACUAGGCAAAAUGGUGCCGUAACUUCGGGAGAAGGCACGCUGAUAUGUAGGUGAAGUCCCUCGCGGAUGGAGCUGAAAUCAGUCGAAGAUACCAGCUGGCUGCAACUGUUUAUUAAAAACACAGCACUGUGCAAACACGAAAGUGGACGUAUACGGUGUGACGCCUGCCCGGUGCCGGAAGGUUAAUUGAUGGGGUUAGCCGCAAGGCGAAGCUCUUGAUCGAAGCCCCGGUAAACGGCGGCCGUAACUAUAACGGUCCUAAGGUAGCGAAAUUCCUUGUCGGGUAAGUUCCGACCUGCACGAAUGGCGUAAUGAUGGCCAGGCUGUCUCCACCCGAGACUCAGUGAAAUUGAACUCGCUGUGAAGAUGCAGUGUACCCGCGGCAAGACGGAAAGACCCCGUGAACCUUUACUAUAGCUUGACACUGAACAUUGAGCCUUGAUGUGUAGGAUAGGUGGGAGGCUUUGAAGUGUGGACGCCAGUCUGCAUGGAGCCGACCUUGAAAUACCACCCUUUAAUGUUUGAUGUUCUAACGUUGACCCGUAAUCCGGGUUGCGGACAGUGUCUGGUGGGUAGUUUGACUGGGGCGGUCUCCUCCUAAAGAGUAACGGAGGAGCACGAAGGUUGGCUAAUCCUGGUCGGACAUCAGGAGGUUAGUGCAAUGGCAUAAGCCAGCUUGACUGCGAGCGUGACGGCGCGAGCAGGUGCGAAAGCAGGUCAUAGUGAUCCGGUGGUUCUGAAUGGAAGGGCCAUCGCUCAACGGAUAAAAGGUACUCCGGGGAUAACAGGCUGAUACCGCCCAAGAGUUCAUAUCGACGGCGGUGUUUGGCACCUCGAUGUCGGCUCAUCACAUCCUGGGGCUGAAGUAGGUCCCAAGGGUAUGGCUGUUCGCCAUUUAAAGUGGUACGCGAGCUGGGUUUAGAACGUCGUGAGACAGUUCGGUCCCUAUCUGCCGUGGGCGCUGGAGAACUGAGGGGGGCUGCUCCUAGUACGAGAGGACCGGAGUGGACGCAUCACUGGUGUUCGGGUUGUCAUGCCAAUGGCACUGCCCGGUAGCUAAAUGCGGAAGAGAUAAGUGCUGAAAGCAUCUAAGCACGAAACUUGCCCCGAGAUGAGUUCUCCCUGACCCUUUAAGGGUCCUGAAGGAACGUUGAAGACGACGACGUUGAUAGGCCGGGUGUGUAAGCGCAGCGAUGCGUUGAGCUAACCGGUACUAAUGAACCGUGAGGCUUAACCUUACAACGCCGAAG